CGGUUGGCUGACUGGGUUGCGCGCCCACCGCAUUGACAGCUUUAAUAAAUGUGGUAACGUCCGUCCCCAUUUAUGAGCUUCCCCGUAACAUGGGAGACCGGAGACCUUUGUGUAAUAUAGUUGAAGAGAUAAGCCCACCUGACAUCUACGUGGCACGCACCUUUCACCAUUAUUAAUUUUCACAACCUUCACGACACAAGCCAAGCCAAGCCAAGCCAGCUAUCCCAUUACACAACUCAUUACCCAAAUGAAAGUCUAACACGAAACAACUAUGAGUUCUUCGAUUUUGUUGAAGGAUUAUGCUCAGUGGGAACUCAACGCCUUUCUUUGGAUAUCUCUCAUCACAGUCACUUUCCUUUUGUUGAAAAAAGUUAUAAAAUUGUUCACUCUUUGGUUUCAGGCUAAGUCCAUUCCGGGUCCGCCUUGUUCUUCCUUUUAUGGCCAUUCUGAUCUCCAUUCUCGUCGGAGUCUCACUGAGGUUUUGUCACAAUCGCAUGAUAAGUAUGGAUCGGUUGUCAAGCUUUGGUUGGGUCCAACUAAAUUAUUGGUGUCUAUUAACGAGCCUGUGCUUAUCAAAGAGAUGCUUUUAAAGGCUAAGGAUAAAUUGCCUUUGACUGGAAGGGCUUUCAGUUUGGCCUUUGGACAGUCCAGCCUAUUCGCUUCCUCUUUUGAUAAGGUACAAAAGAGACGAGAAUCAUUAGCGUUGGAGUUGAAUGGAAGGUUGCUUGAGACAGAAAAUGUAAUUCCUACAAGGGUUGUGGACUCUGUCAUGGAUAGAAUACAUGGGAUCAUGGUCAAAGGAAGUAGUGAUUGUGGAGUUAUUUCUCAAAAAAUGGCUCUUACUAUGUUGGGAGCCACAAUUUUUGGAGAUGCUUUUUUGGCUUGGUCCAAGGCAACUGUAUAUGAGGAGCUUCUCAAGAAAAUUGCUAAGGAUACUUGCUUUUGGGCCUCUUAUAGUGUUACUCCCUACUGGAAACGUGGAUUUUGGAGAUACCAGCAUAUCUGCACAAGAUUGAAAUGUUUAACUCAAGACAUCAUUAAGCAAUGCCGCAAAAACUGCAAGCUAUUUUUCCAUUUGGAUCAAAGCUCUGAUAAUGAAACCUCAAAAACUGGAAUGGAAACUGCACUAGGUGGACCAUCUUGUUCUGAUGUUCCUGUACCUGAUAACUUAUUCUCACAAGGGCUUAUUGGGAGACUUAAUGUCAGAGAAGAACCAUGUGCAAAUCUUAUGGGUGUGAUGUUUCAUGGAUACUUAACGAUGACAGGUUUGAUUGCUAAUGUCCUGGCAAGGCUUGCUACACAUCAGGAGAUACAAGAUAAGAUAUAUAAGGAGAUAAUUAUGGCACGGAAGGGGUCUGUGAAGCAAGAACAACAAAGUGUUGACAAGAUGCUCUUAUUAUUGGCAACUGUUUAUGAAUCUUCUCGUCUCCUGCCUGCUGGACCUUUGUUACAGAGAUGCUCUCUGAAACAUGAUUUGACUCUUAAAAAUGGUGUAAUCAUUCCUGGUGGAGCCGUGCUGGUUGUACCUGUACAGUUGGUACAGACAGACAAGUGUAGUUGGGGAAGUGAUUCUGGCCAAUUUAAUCCAUACCUUUUUUGUCAGAGAUCAGAAAGCAAUCUAAUGAAGUGUGCAAUAAAUCGUUGACAGGUGCCCUAGAGGAGGAUGUGGAUCCAAGAGACACCUCAUUUGUUUUGAAGGAUCCAAAUGACAAUGCAGCAUUUCUUCCCUUUGGCUCUGGCAGUCGUGCUUGUGUUGGCCAGAAAUUUGUUAUUCAUGGAGUUGCUACUUUAUUUGCAUCAUUGCUUGAAUGCUAUGAGAUAAGGCUGCAGCCAGGGUCGGAGAAUAACCCGAAACCAACAUUGAACAAUUGUGUCUACCAACUUUUUACCAGUCCAGAGGUACUUUUUGUGCGAAGAAGUACCUAAAACUGACAAAGCACACACGCUUUAGGGUUUGUCACUCUGUCAUUAUUAAAUCAUUUGUUAAUGAAAUCCCAGGUUUUUGAUGAAGUCAUUUUUCCUGAUGGGGAAGGUUUUGUGUUUUAGGUUCAUUAGCUGUUAUGGGGGGAUCAUGUUGCAUGAGUGCACUUUUGUGACUCAUUUUUUCAUUCCCUCCCUGCUUUUUAAACUUGUUUUUUAAGCACUUUGAGCCUAUUUAUAUAUAUAUAUAUAUAUAGAUAUGGUUUUCUUUCCCAUCUUUGAACGUAAGAAAGACUUUCUUCCAACUUUUUUCUCUCCAGCACUGGAAGUUGGGUCUCAUAUUGUCACUGAAUCAUAUGUAUAACACUACUUGUGCUAGUUGCUUUGUGAAAUAAAAUUUGCAUAAACUUUGGGUAAGGGUUAGUUUGGUAUUGCAGUUAAUUGUAAUGGGAAGUGGAGAUUUUAGCAAUUUAUGUUGUGAAAUUGAUAUAGUUUUGGAUUUGGUGGUGAUUGUGUGUAAAAACAGAUAUUAUUUUUUGAAUUGUGGAAGAAAAAAGAUUGAUAAGUAUUAUUGAA